rnacentral:tRNA from 23 species
GCCGAAUUAGUUUAGGGGCAAAACAGAUCCAUGGUAAGGAUCAGAGAACAGUUCGACUCUGUUAUUCGGCACCA